rnacentral:rRNA from 1 species
AUUGAACGCUGGCGGCAUGCUUUACACAUGCAAGUCGAACGGUAACAGGCCGCAAGGUGCUGACGAGUGGCGAACGGGUGAGUAAUGCAUCGGAACGUGCCCAGUCGUGGGGGAUAACUACUCGAAAGAGUAGCUAAUACCGCAUACGAUCUAUGGAUGAAAGCGGGGGACCGUAAGGCCUCGCGCGAUUGGAGCGGCCGAUGUCAGAUUAGGUAGUUGGUGGGGUAAAGGCUCACCAAGCCAACGAUCUGUAGCUGGUCUGAGAGGACAACCAGCCACACUGGGACUGAGACACGGCCCAGACUCCUACGGGAGGCAGCAGUGGGGAAUUUUGGACAAUGGGCGCAAGCCUGAUCCAGCAAUGCCGCGUGCAGGAAGAAGGCCUUCGGGUUGUAAACUGCUUUUGUACGGAACGAAAUGGCUCUGGUUAAUACCCGGGGCUAAUGACGGUACCGUAAGAAUAAGCACCGGCUAACUACGUG